GAUGAAGAACGCAGCGAAAUGCGAUACGUAAUGUGAAUUGCAAAUUCAGUGAAUCAUCGAGUCUUUGAACGCACAUUGCGCCCCCUGGUAUCCCGGGGGGCAUGCCUGUCCGAGCGUCAUUGCUGCCCUCAAGCACGGCUUGUGUGUUGGGCCCCGUCCUCCGAUCCCGGGGGACGGGCCCGAAAGGCAGCGGCGGCACCGCGUCCGGUCCUCGAGCGUAUGGGGCUUUGUCACCCGCUCUGUAGGCCCGGCCGGCGCUUGCCGAUCAACCCAAAUUUUUAUCCAGGUUGACCUCGGAUCAGGUAGGGAUACCCGCUGAACUUAAGCAUAUCAUAAGCGGAGGA
rnacentral:misc_RNA from 1 species